rnacentral:rRNA from 1 species
CCUACGGGUGGCAGCAGUGAGGAAUAUUGGUCAAUGGACGAGAGUCUGAACCAGCCAAGUAGCGUGAAGGUUGACUGCCCUAUGGGUUGUAAACUCCUUUUAUAUGGGAAUAAAAUGUUCCACGUGUGGGAUUUUGUAUGUACCAUAUGAAUAAGGAUCGGCUAACUCCGUGCCAGCAGCCGCGGUAAUACGGAGGAUCCGAGCGUUAUCCGGAUUUAUUGGGUUUAAAGGGAGCGUAGGUGGAUUGUUAAGUCAGUUGUGAAAGUUUGCGGUUCAACCGUAAAAUUGCAGUUGAAACUGGCAGUCUUGAGUGCAGGAGAGGUGGGCGGAAUGCGUGGUGUAGCGGUGAAAUGCUUAGAUAUCACGAAGAACACCGAUUGCGAAGGCAGUUCACUGGACUGCAACUGACACUGAGGCUCGAAAGUGUGGGUAUCAAACAGGAUUAGAUACCCCAGUAGUC